AUUGAACGCUGGCGGCAGGCCUAACACAUGCAAGUCGAACGAGUGGCGGACGGGUGAGUAAUGUCUGGGAAACUGCCUGAUGGAGGGGGAUAACUACUGGAAACGGUAGCUAAUACCGCAUACCAUCAGAUGUGCCGCGAUGGGAUUGGCUUGUUGGUGGGGUAACGGCUCACCAAGGGGACGAUCCCUAGCUGGUCUGAGAGGCUGACCAGCCACACGGGAACUGAGACACGGUCCAGACUCCUACGGGAGGCAGCAGUGGGGAAUAUGGGGCAAUGGGCGCAAGUCUGAUGCAGCAAUGCCGCGUGAAUGAAGAAGGCCUUCGGGUUGUAAAGUACUUUUAUCGGGGAGGCGUUACCUGCAGAGGAAGCACCGGCUAACUCCGUGCCAGCAGCCGCGGUAAUAC
rnacentral:rRNA from 1 species